rnacentral:rRNA from 1 species
AUGCUGCCGUUCGAGGAGCAGGCGGUGGCGGACCUCCUGGAGGACCCCAACGGAGGGCUGCUGGUGGUCUCCUCCGGCAUCCCGCUCGCCUCCCUCGCCGCCACGCUCCUCCACCUCCACCACCAAUCCACAUCCUCCUCCGGCGGCGGGGGCGGCGGAUGCUUCCUCAUCCUCUCCGCCCCGGACGCCCUCAAGGACCAAAUCCGGCGCCGGCUCGUCGAAUCCCAGCUCCUGCAGGUCCACGACGUGGCCUCCGACGUCCCCGCCGCCCACCGCCGCGCGCUCUACUCCUCCGGGGAGGGCGCGGCGCUCUUCCUCACCCCGCGCGUGCUCGCCGCCGACCUCCUCACCGCCCACCUCCUCCCGUCCCGCGUCCAGGCCCUGCUCCUCCUCGCCGCGCACCGCUCCUCCGACACCUCCGCCGACGCCUUCAUCGCCCGCCUCCUGCGCCAGCACCGCCUCCUCCCCGUCUACGCCUUCUCCGACCGCCCCCACGCCAUGGUCGCCGGCUUCGCCAAGGCCGAGCGCACCAUGAAGAGCCUCUACAUCCGCCGCCUCCACCUCUGGCCGCGCUUCCACGUCCUCGCCGCCGCCGACCUCGAGCGCUCCCCGCCGGAGGUCGUCGACGUCCGCGUCCCCAUGACGCACCCCAUGGUCGGCAUCCAGGCCGCCAUCCUCGACGCCAUGGACGCCUGCCUCAAGGAGCUCCGGCGGACCUACAAGGUCGAUGUCGAGGACCUCACCAUUGACAAGGGCCUCUUCAAGUCCUUCGACGAGAUUGUCAGGAGGCAGCUCGACCCCAUCUGGCACACCCUCGGCAAGAAGACCAAGCAGCUCGUCGCCGACCUCAGGACGCUUCGGAAACUGCUCGAUUACCUUGGCAGGUAUGAUGCCGUGACAUACUUGAAGUAUCUGGACACUCUGAGAGUGUCUGAAGGCGUUCGAUCGGUUUGGAUGUUGGCUGAAUCAAGCCACAAGAUAUUUGAGCUUGCAAAAAGGCGUGUUUACCAGAUUGUGAGACCGGAUGGCACAAGGGUUUCAAUUGCCAAGGGCACGCCAACGAAGAAGAGGAAGGUGACACCCAGUAGUAGCAAGAAAGGAAAAGAAACUGAAAAUGAGGAUUCUGCUCCUAACAAGGAUGACGCUCAGAAGGUAAAUGCAGAGGCUUCCUAUCUACUGGAGGAGGUUCUGGAGGAAGCACCAAAAUGGAAAGUAUUACGGGAACUGUUGCAAGAGAUAGCCGAAGAACAGAGAAAGGGAGAUGGUGUCGUACAUGAAGAUGAAAAUAAUGAAUGUGGCAUAGUCUUAGUAGCAUGCAAAGAUGAGCGCUCAUGCUUGCAGCUGCAGGAAUGCAUAUCGAGAAGUCCCCAGCAGGUUAUGCGAGAAGAGUGGGAGAAGUACUUGCUUGGGAAAGCCGAGCUGUUUGGAUUACAUAAAAAGAAGAAGAAACGAUCUCAGCAACCAAAAGGGUUUGGUAUCCUGGAUGGGGAAUUUCCUACAGGGUCUAAUGAGAACGAGAAUGCAGGGCCAGUAAGCAUUAGCAAGCUUGAGACUAAUGCCUUACUUGCUGCCGCCUCUGGUAUAAGUAAUUUAACUAAGGAAGCAGAUGCCAAGGAGGAUUCAGUUCCCAGCUGCGGCAAGAAAGGUUCUGUAAAGGGAAAAGGAAAGAGGGUGCCAAAGAAAACCCUGACAAAGAGACAAGCCAGUAAAAGGAAAAAUAGAAGUACUACAGAAAAUGAUAGCUGCCAAGGUACUGAUGUGGAAGCAUCAGGCAAAACAGAUGAACAGUCUGACAUUAAUGUCUCUAAGGUGUCUGCCGAAGAUGCUCCUGCUCCAGCCUCCACCCCUGACAAUGCUGAAGACUUGAUUGAUGCCAAAAUGCUACCUCCUGUGCAGUUUUAUGCCCUAGACAGUGAUCAACAUGUACUAGACAUAUGGAAACCAUCUGUAAUUAUUGUCUAUCAUCCAGACAUGACCUUUGUCAGAGAAAUUGAGGUUUACAAGGCAGAAAACCCAUCAAAGAAGUUGAGAGUUUACUUUCUUUUUUAUGAGGAAUCUUCUGAGGUGCAAAAGUUCGAGUCCAGCAUCCGCCGGGAAAAUGAAGCAUUUGAAUCGUUGAUCAGACAGAAGUCCCUGAUGAUGAUACCUGUUGAUCAGAGUGGCCGUUGCAUUGGACCAACUCCGGCAAAUGAACCGGAGCCUCUUUUGUCUCAGAAUUCACUGACAAGAAAGGCAGGUGGUAGAAAGCCAACAGGGAAGGAUAUGCAGGUUAUUGUAGACAUGCGGGAGUUCAUGAGCAGUCUUCCCAAUGUACUGCACCAGAAGGGUAUUCGGAUCAUUCCGGUGACCCUGGAAGUUGGCGACUAUGUUCUUUCUCCCUUGAUAUGUGUUGAAAGAAAAAGUAUCGCAGACUUGUACCAAAGCUUUGCUUCUGGUCGUCUCUACAACCAAGUUGAAACCAUGAUUAGGUAUUACAAGAUCCCAGUGCUUCUGAUAGAGUUCUCGCAAGAUAAGAGCUUCUCCUUUCAGUCUGCAAGCGAAGUUGGGGAUGACGUGUCUCCGACAAACAUAAUCUCGAAGCUGUCACUGCUAGUCCUGCAUUUCCCCCGGCUUCGCAUCGUGUGGUCCCGCAGCCUGCACGCUACAGCGGAUAUAUUCAUGUCGCUGAAAUCAAACCAGGAUGAACCUGAUGAGAACAAGGCGAUGAGGGUGGGCGUGCCGUCGGAGGAUGGGGUCGUGGAAGACGACGUGAGGGCCGAGAACUACAACACAUCCGCGAUCGAGUUCCUGAGAAGGCUCCCUGGCGUGACGGACUCCAACUACAGAGCGGUAAUGGACGGAUGCAAUAGCCUGGCGGAGCUCGCGCUGCUACCGGUAGAGAGGCUGGCGGAGCUGAUGGGCAGCCAGAAGGGCGCGCGCACGCUCAAGGAGUUUCUGGAUGCCAAGUGUCCAAGCAUGAUCUCAUAG